rnacentral:rRNA from 1 species
AUUGAACGCUGGCGGCAGGCCUUACACAUGCGAGUCGAGCGGCAGAAGGGAGCUUGCCACUGGAUUCAGCGGCGGACGCGGGUGUGAAGUCUAGGAAUCUGCGUGGUGGUGGGGGGUAACGUCCGGCAAAAGGCGCUAAUAUAGCACACGUGAUGUGGGAGUAAGAGGGGGAUAUUCGGACCCCUCGCUCUCAGAUGAGCCGAGGUCGGAUUAGCUAGUUGGUGGGGUAAAGGCCUACCAAGGCGACGAUCAGUAACUGGUCUGAGAGGAUGAUCAGUCACACUGGAACUGAGACACGGUCCAGACUCCUACGGGAGGCAGCAGUGGGGAAUAUUGGACAAUGGGCGAAAGCCUGAUCCAGCCAUGCCGCGUGUGUGAAGAAGGUCUUCGGAUUGUAAAGCACUUUAGUUUGGGAGGAAGGGCAGUAAGUUAAUACCGUGCGGGGUUGACGUUACCAGCAGAAUAAGCACCGGCUAACUUCGUG